rnacentral:tRNA from 1 species
AAACGCAAAGUGCUUUGCAUUCGUAAUUGUCGUUUACGAGGUGUGCGUUUU